rnacentral:rRNA from 1 species
AACAGGAUUAGAUACCCUGGUAGUCCACGCCGUAAACGAUGUCGACUUGGAGGUUGUGCCCUUGAGGCGUGGCUUCCGGAGCUAACGCGUUAAGUCGACCGCCUGGGGAGUACGGCCGCAAGGUUAAAACUCAAAUGAAUUGACGGGGGCCCGCACAAGCGGUGGAGCAUGUGGUUUAAUUCGAUGCAACGCGAAGAACCUUACCUACUCUUGACAUCCAGAGAACUUUCCAGAGAUGGAUUGGUGCCUUCGGGAACUCUGAGACAGGUGCUGCAUGGCUGUCGUCAACUCGUGUUGUGAAAUGUUGGGUUAAGUCCCGCAACGAGCGCAACCCUUAUCCUUUGUUGCCAGCGGUCCGGCCGGGAACUCAAAGGAGACUGCCAGUGAUAAACUGGAGGAAGGUGGGGAUGACGUCAAGUCAUCAUGGCCCUUACGAGUAGGGCUACACACGUGCUACAAUGGCGCAUACAAAGAGAAGCGAACUCGCGAGAGCAAGCGGACCUCAUAAAGUGCGUCGUAGUCCGGAUUGGAGUCUGCAACUCGACUCCAUGAAGUCGGAAUCGCUAGUAAUCGUAGAUCAGAAUGCUACGGUGAAUACGUUCCCGGGCCUUGUACACACCGCCCGUCACACCAUGGGAGUGGGUUGCAAAAGAAGUAGGUAGCUUAACCUUCGGGAGGGCGCUUACCACUUUGUGAUUCAUGACUGGGGUGAAGUCGUAACAAGGUAACC